GGAUUUCUGUGGAUCGGAGAUGUCUGGUUUGAUCAAAGCUCAAAUUGCUGAUCAUCCUCUAUCCUACCUUAGUUACUGCUUAUAUAGAAUGUCAGAAGGUCGGUGCACCACCGAAGCUGGCGUCGCUUCUUGAAGAAAAUCGCUCGAGAAAACCAUGAUCCGAGGGGUGGUGGUUCUACUGAUUUCGGAGCCGAUCUAGAACUCGACGAGUUCAUGGAAUCUUAUUGUGAGGUUCUUAACAAUUACA